AGUGAACGCUGGCGGCAGGCCUAAUACAUGCAAGUCGAACGGCAGCACAGCAGAGCUUGCUCUGUGGGUGGCGAGUGGCGGACGGGUGAGGAAUACAUGGGAAUCUGCCCAGUCGUGGGGGAUAACGUAUGGAAACGUACGCUAAUACCGCAUGCGCCCUACGGGGGAAAGUCGGGGACCGCAAGGCCUGACGCGAUUGGAUGAGCCCAUGUUCGAUUAGCUAGUUGGCGGGGUAAAGGCCCACCAAGGCGACGAUCGAUAGCUGGUCUGAGAGGAUGAUCAGCCACACUGGAACUGAGACACGGUCCAGACUCCUACGGGAGGCAGCAGUAGGGGAAUAUUGGACAAUGGGGGCAACCCUGAUCCAGCCAUGCCGCGUGAGUGAAGAAGGCCCUCGGGUUGUAAAGCUCUUUUGUCCGGAAAGAAAAGCAAUCGGUUAAUACCCGGUUGUUCUGACGGUACCGGAAGAAUAAGCACCGGCUAACUUCGUGCCAGC
rnacentral:rRNA from 1 species